CGUGCAGCUUUCACAGACUGGCGCCGAGUACAGUAAAGCAUUGAUAUUUUCAAUGUACAUUGAAGAAUAAAAUAAUAAAUGAUGUACCUGAAUGAGAACAUAUGGGGAGUUCAAAUCAGUGCAACGGCUCCGCUUCAUUCAGCACACUACAACAGAGCGUUAAGUUAGCCUUUAACUUAGCACAUGAAGUGUUUGAUAAUAUUAACUAAACUAAAAGUACAAAAAUUGGUGCUAGGCACACAUCUAGUAAUUAGUAAAUUUCACACUAUUUGUCUAAGUUAAUAAAAAUUAUGUUGCUAACACGUUUCUACUGUGUGCUGAAAAACGCAACUCACCUCUCGUGCAGCUUUCACAGACUGGCACCGAGUACAGGAGCCAGCAACAUUUAACCAGCCACACUAAGAGGGGGGCGCUAUUUCCCCAUUGCACUGAUCCAUAUAAAGCAAGUGGGAUUCUACAACUUAAACCUAAACACUGUUACAUCAGUACUAACAGGUGCAACUAUGUACAGGUGUAAAUUCUGCAGCAUUUGUACUUCAGAAUUUACAGAAUUUUGUAGUCAUGUGAAGAAACAUCAACACACAGCUAAUUAUCGGUUUGCAUGUGGAA